rnacentral:rRNA from 1 species
AUGGCAACGGCGUCGAGCAUGCAGCAGCCGGCGCUGCUUCUUCUUCGGCAGCUGAUGCAGGACCCGGUGAUAGCCUCCCUCCUCGCGGUGGCGCUCGCCACCGUGAUCAUGCUGAUCGGCGCCGUGAGCAGAGGCGGGGGACGGAAGCCGCGGCUGCCGCCGAGCCCGAGGGGCUUCCCGGUGAUCGGGCACCUGCACCUGGUGCGCCCGCCGGUGCACCGCACCUUCCACGACCUGGCGGCCCGGCUGGGCCCGCUGAUGCACAUCCGCCUCGGCUCCACCCACUGCGUGGUGGCCAGCUCGGCGGGCGUCGCCGCCGAGCUCAUCCGCACCCACGAGGGCAAGAUCUCGGAGCGGCCGCUCACGGCCGUGGCGCGCCAGUUCGCGUACGGCGACGACGGCUUCGCCUUCGCGCCCUACGGCCCGCACUGGCGCUCCAUGAAGCGCCUCUGCAUGUCCGAGCUCCUCGGCCCCCGCACCGUCGAGCAGCUCCGCCCCGUCCGCCGCGCCGGCCUCGUCUCGCUGCUGCAGAGCGUGCUGCACCAGGCGUCGGGUGCUGAGGCGGUCGACCUCACCGCCGCGCUCAUCCGGCUGUCCAACACGUCCAUCAUCAGGAUGAUGGCCAGCACCGUGCCCGGGAGCGUCACGGAGGAGGCGCAGGCGCUGGUCAAGGCGGUGGCGGAGCUCGUCGGCGCGUUCAACGUCGAGGACUACAUCGCCGUGUGCCGCGGCUGGGACCUCCAGGGCCUUCGCCGCCGGGCCGCCGACGUCCACCGCCGCUUCGACGCGCUGCUCGAGGAGAUGAUACGGCACAAGGAGGAGGCCCGGGAGGCCAGGAAGAUGCGUGGCGGAGGUGAAGGAGAGACGCCGGAGAAGAAGACGGCCACGGGAACGACGACGGAGAGCAGCAAGGACUUGCUCGACAUCCUGCUGGACAAGUUGGAGGACGACGCGGCGGCGGAGGUGAAGCUCACCAGGAAGAAGAUCAAAGCCUUCGUCAUCGACGUGGUGACUGCGGGCUCCGACACGUCGGCGGCCAUGGUGGAGUGGAUGCUGGCGGAGCUGAUGAACCACCCGGAGUGCCUACGCAAGGUGCGCGCGGAGAUCGACGCGGUGGUGGGGCGCGACAGGAUCGCGGGCGAGGGCGACGUGGCGAGCCUCCCCUACCUGCAGGCGGCGUACAAGGAGACGCUCCGGCUGCGCCCCGCAGCCCCGAUCGCGCACCGGCAAUCCACGGAGGAGAUGGUGAUCUCCGCGGCCGGCGGCGGCGUAGGCGGGUUCACGGUGCCGGCGGGCACGGCGGUGUUCAUGAACCUGUGGUCCAUCGCGCGCGACCCGGCCAACUGGGACGCGCCGCUGGAGUUCCGGCCGGAGCGGUUCAUGGCCGGCGGGCGCAACGAGGCGCUGGACCCGCGCGGGCAGCACUUCCAGUACCUGCCGUUCGGGAGCGGCCGGCGCGGGUGCCCCGGCAUGGGGCUGGCGCUCCAGUCCGUGCCCGCCGUCGUGGCGGCCCUGGUGCAGUGCUUCGACUGGGCCGUGGACGGCGACGGGAAGAAGAUAGACAUGGAGGAGGCCGACGGGCUGGUGUGCGCGCGCAAGCACCCGCUGCUGCUCCGCCCCUCGCCGCGCCUCAGCCCCUUCCCGGCGGUCGUCUAA